UAACUAGUACUCUAACCAGCCAUAAUCCGUGAAGACCCUAUGAUCAUGCAGCUUAAAUACUUCUUUAUAUAAUAUAUUUAAAAACAAAACCAACAACAAAAUAAAAACCUGUCAGGAGUGGUGGUGCAUACCUGUGAUCCCUGCACUCAGGAGUUUGAGGCCCGCUGGGCCACACAAUGAGUUCCAGGCCAGUCUGAGCUAAACUCCAUUUCAGUUUAAAAAAAAAAGAAGAAGAAAGAAAGAAGACAUUACUUCACAUAACCACAGUAUGAUUAUCAAAGUCAGUAAAUGAACUUUUUUUGACACAUUUCUUAACCUAUAGGCUCUCAGAUUCUCCAGCUCUGCUCAAAUGUGUUCUUGGUAGCAAAGAAAAUCCCAGGUUGGCUAGGUCAGAAUGUGGGUUACUUCGGUUGUGCUGUCUUUUUACUAACACUGGCAUCUCAGGAGAGCACAGGUCAGGUGUUUUGUACUUGUCAGUGUGACGUGUCUCAUGGCUCCAUCCAGACUGUCUGCAUUUUGUCAGCUUCACCAGCUCUCUUUGAAGUAUUAAGGUAAUGGUAACCUUGCUGUGAUUGAUCAGAAGCAGUAGAGAUCCAUUUCCCCAAUCAUGGCCUCUUGCCUCACUGUAGUAAUAUCAUAGCACAGGUCCACUGCUAUUGCUGAGUCCACUGAUGUCUUCAGAGCUGUCCUGUGUAAUUUGUGCUCAUUUAUGUGCAUGUGUGCUUCUGGUCAACUCCAUCACAUGCAGAGUCAUGAGCUCACCACAGUCAAGCUGUACAGAAAAGGUCAUCUGUUGUCUCAUAGCCAGAGACUCCCUCUUCCCCUAGCCCUUCACCACCACUAACCUGUUCCCCAUCUCUGGUGUUGUCAUUUCAAGAAUGUUGUAUAGCCAGGUGGUGGUGGUGGUGAGUGCACUGGGAGGCAGAUCUCUGUGAGUUCAAGGCCAGCCCUCGUCUACAGAGAACUAGUUCCAGGACAGCCAGAGCUAUCAGAGCUAUGCAGAGAAAACUGUCUUGAAAAACAAAACAAAAAGGAGUGUCAUAUGCACUUUACCUGGAGAGCUAGGUGUCUUCAUCUUCAUUCAGCAUGGUUCUCUUGAAGUCCUAAGUCUUUACGAGCUGCGUACAUCAGUAACUUUUUUUAUUGGUGAGUAGUAUUCCAUAGUGUGAAUGUACUCUAAUUUACUUAGCCACUCACUCAUUGAAGGAUAGCUGAAUUAUUUUCAAUUUGAGGAUGUAAGAAAACAGCUAUGAAUACUUGUGUACAAGUUUUUGUCUGACCAUGAGUUUUUAUUUCCUGGAAUAAAAAUACAACUUCUGAACACAAUGUAAGUAAAUGUUUAGUUUUUUAGGUUUUUUUUUUCUUGUUUGUUUUUCAAGACAGGGUUUCUCUGUGUAACCCUGGCUGUCCUGGAACUUGCUCUGUAGACCAGGCUGGUCUCAAACUCACAGAGCUCCGCCUGCCUCUGCCUCCUAAGAGCUGGGAUUAAAGGUGUGUGCCACUACCACCUGGUGGCUAGUUUAGUAUUUAAAAAAAAAAAAAAAAAAAGACGUCCUUUUCCAAAGUGGCUUCAUCAUUUUACAUUCUGCUGGCAGUGUGUGGCUGAUCCAGUUCCUCCAUGUCUUGACAGCAUUUGGUAUACAUUUCUCUUUUUGUUACUGUAAUGUCCAUUUCUCCAGUGGUCAUAAUUGAACAUCUUGCAUACGUGCAUGUGUGAUUGUUCUGUGUAAGUACAUAUGCAUAUAUGUGGAAGGCAGAGGUCAGAAUUGAGUGUGCUGGGGUUACAGACGGGUCCCACUGCACCCAGGUUUGUGGCUGCUGAGAUGCAGAUGCAGGGCCUCAUGGUUGUGUGGCAGACACUGUGCUGACAGCUAUCUCCCCACCCGGGUCACCCUUUCCAGUGUUUCAGGGAAAUGUCCACUUGAGUCUGUUGCCAUUUUCUUCCUGGGUUGUUUGUCUUUUACUGUUAAGGAUUUUUUAAGAGAUUUUAUUUAUUUAUAAUUUAUAUGUUUGCCUGGAUGUAUGUUUGUGUACCACGUGCAUAUACUGCUCAAGGAGGCCAGGGAGGGUGUCAGAUUCUCUGGAGCUGGAGUUACAGGCAGUUGUGAGCCAUCAUAUGGGAAACAGGAAUCAAACUCAGGUUUUCUGGAAGAGCAGCCAGUGCUCUUACCACUGAGCCAGCUUUCUGGCUCCCUGCUAUUGAGUUUUUAGACUCUGUGUAUUGUAGAGAUAGUAGUGCUUUGCAGGUGCUUUCUUCCUGCUCUAUACUUCGUCUAGUCAACCACUUUAACAGUCUUGAAAGACAAAGUGUUGGGGGGUUUUCUAAUUUUGAUAAAGUUUAAUUUGUGAAUUUUCCCUUGAAAUUGUACUUUGGGUAUCAAUUGUAAAAAGCUCUUUGUCUCACAAAGAUUUUCUCCUUGCUUCUGAAUGUUUAAAGUAUUUAUUACAUUUUAGAGUCAAGUCUACAGUUCAUUGGUCUGAAGCUGCUUCUCUUCUGAUGCAAGUAUUUUGUGCUAUAAACUUCUCUCUGCACUUCUGAAGAAAUGCUAAGGCUCUGCCUCACAAAUUUUGACAUGGGCUUUCAUCAGUUCCUCAUUCUCCUCCCUCAGGCCCCCCAGUGCUGGGAAGGUAGCCGUGCACCAGCGCUCAGCCUCGUGUGUUUUUUCAUUUGACACUUCUUCUUUAACCUGUGUGUUAAGAAGUGCUUCAUUCCCCUUGUUUACAGAGUCUGCUGUGAAGGAGUGCUAAUGAUGCCUGUUUGCUUGCAUUAUGAUCAGAGAAAGACUUUCAGUUCUUUUCUAAUUCUUAGACUUGCUUGUGACCCAUGUAUGGUUAAUCAUGGUGCUUAAUGUAUGCAGAAGAGCAUGUGUGCUCUGCCGUUGGGGCACAUCCUGGAGAAGUCAGCUCAGUGCACUCCGCUUGCUCCUGUGAGCAGGUAGGGUUGGGAGAUCACCUUCCCACUGAGGGCACCUAGUGCCAGAUUCGGGGGAAGAGUAAAAUUUUCUCUUUGGCAUUUGGCUAAAAUAGAGCAGACAGUGUUCUGAAGGUUUUCUGACAUGAGUUCCCUCUUUUCCAGGUGUUUUGAUUAGGACAAUCAGGCUUCUCUUUGGCUGAUCCUGCAGGCAGUUCUGGGCUGAAGACUUCUGUAGCACAUUGUUGGGAAUCGGUGGGGCAGGGCAGUAAGGGAGCCCAGAGAGCUCAGCACCCAGUGUCCCCAUUCAAGGCCAAGGCCCUAGACAGCCCUUCCUCUUUCCCUGGAAUGACAGUAUGCGCUAGCUUUAAAAAAGAAAAAAAAAAAAAAGAUUGAAGAUUUGGGUUUAUUAUUAUUAAAUACCAUAUGAAUAAUUAAUAAAUAUUAUUAAAUGCCAUAUGGAACACCAAAAGUAGAAUAAUCAGGAGUUCUUCUGAAAACAUUUUAAUCAGAAAACCAAUGAUAAUAUCAGAGCUGAAUGGGGCACAUCCAAAGGCCUUUGAAACACUCACAGUUGUCCUGGGAGCCUGGUAUUUGAUGAUCUCGCAUUAAUUAGCACCCUCCGUGGGGCCUGUAUGUGACGAAGGAGUAAAAACCUCACCAUCUGCCACAGGCCACAAAGGAUGCUUGUUUCCUAGCGUUUGUUGCAGCUCCUUUCAAAGCAUCCCUCUCCAGACAAUACUUUAGUCGAAAGUGAUGUUCUGACCUUUUUUCCUCCUUCCGUUUUCCCUAAGGUUGAGAAAUGCUUGAUGAAAUUUUUAUGUGGCUUAAAAAGCUUAGCUCAUUAAAGUUUAAUGUGAAGGUGGCACCAGCUGAACUGGUUGGAACCUUAGGCUGUUUUAAAAAGAAGCCUGAACUAUUAGCAAGAAAAAAGCUGAACUGAAGGGAAAACUGAGAUUUCCUCACAGAAUUCUGUCUUGAUGCUAUUCUUUCUACAAAACAUGCUACUCAGGAGAGCCACACAUUCUGAGUAACUUGGCCACCAUGGAGCAGUAGUUACACUGCAGAUCAUUGUACAUGUAGUAUGACAACCACUGCUGAGCCUGUAGUGUGUCUUCCUGAAAAACUAUUGUGUGGAUACCAAGAUGAUAUGUAAAUUUAGACCUGCUUCUUGUGUGUAUGUGUACCCACACACACUCAUACACACACACACACACACACACACACACACACACACACACACACACACUACCACAAGAAUGUGGAGGUCAGAGGACAACUCUCAGGAACUGGUUCUCUCCUCUACCUUGGGUUCUAGGGAUUGAACUCCUGUCAUCAGGCUUGUACAGCAAAGACCUUUCACCAUGAACUCACAAGCCUAGCUUAGACCUUUGAAUCAUUCAGUGACAGUUAUUUUAUACCAGAAGUAGAUGUCUGGUACUUUUAUAUUGAAAGGGUUCAUGAAGAUUUUUUGAGAGAUGUCAAUUUUUAAAAACAAUCCAAUGAUUAAUAUUGUGCCUUUGUAUUAGACCUUUAGUCACCGUGACAGAGUAACUGACACACACAAGGGAGGAAAAAGAGUCUGCGUUCCCAGUGUCAAGUGUAAGUCCAUCAUCACAGGGGCCAUUGCCUGUAGGCCUGUGACAAAGAAGCAGGAGGGGGCUGGAGAGAUGGCUCAGAGGUUAAGAGCACCGACUGCUCUUCCAGAGGUCCUGAGUUCAAUUCCCAGUACCCACAUGGUGGCUCACAACCAUCUGUAAUGAGAUCUGGCACCCUCUUCUGUAUACAUAAUAAAUAAAAUAAAUCUUUAAAAAAAAAAAAAAAAGAAGAAGAAGAAGAAGCAGGAGGAAGGACAUGGCUCACAUCGUGACAACCAGCAAGCAAAGAGGAGAGACAGGACACCGACAAGGCACCCUUCAGCAAAGAGCCUGCCUGGCGUGUCACACUGAGUUGGUGCAAAUAGAGAGUGAGCUUCCGCUCUUCUGAGAAGGCAGACAGGUGUCACCCAAGCGCUGUGUGUAGAGUUCCUGUUUGGAGGCAGUGAUGUUGCUCUUGGUGAGUCAGACACUUCACAGAGGACGUAGUGAUGUUUGAGCGGAAUUUCAUUUCAGAGAAUGGGAAAGACUUCAUCAGACAGGCUGAAGGGAAAUUUCAGGAGUGGAUCAUUUUCCACAAAGAAAAGGAGAGUUGAGUAGCGGAACAUUGAGAAGGUAGGAAAGAAAAACGGGGCCUGUGAGCCAGUGUUAGAUGGGAAAAUUGACUACAGUGGAGUUGAAUCACAGGCUGAGGAGUUUGGGGUUUUAUUCUCUAAGAAGUAAGGGAUCAACCAAGGUUUUCUAAAGGUACAAUAAUGCUAAAUAUUUUCCCAGCCAAGGAUGGUAGAAACUGUAUUCUGGAGACAGAAGCAGGAAGAUCAGGAGUUCAAGGCCAGCCUGAUCUACAUGAGCCCCUCUUUAAAUAAAAAGAAAAAAAAGGAAACUUUCUCAUGACAGGAGAGACUUAAAGGAGAAAACGAAGAGCGAAGGCAGAAGAUUAGUAAAGCAGAUGUGUAGAGGUCAGGGAACAAUUAGGGCAAGGGAAACAGUUCCUGAAAAAAACAGACGCUGGAGACAAAAAGAAAAAAGUGGUAGUGAUGAAAAAGUAAAUGAAAGAUGCAGACAGGAUGGUCUGAAUCCAGAGGAAAUGAGAUUCAUCGCCCCUGGAUUUCACCAGUGUUUCAAAGAGAAGGCCCUACUGUGUGCUGAUAGAGACCUAGUUCUGUAUCUGUGGGAAAGCUCUGAUGACUGGAAGCCCUGAUACCUCAUCAGAGUGACCUGUCCUCAAAACAGUGAUCCUGGAUGAAUUCUUGUCCGAUUAAUGUUGUGUGAGUUGUUUUAGGCUGGUCAUUGGGUAGCACUUGCCACCAAACCUGGCAGCCUGAGUUCAAUCCCCUCAACCCCCAUGGUAGAGCAGAGGACUGAUUUCCAUAUGUGUGCCAUGAUGAAUGAGCACAUGCACGUGUAUACACACACAUACUCACACAAUAAAUAAAUAAAUAAAUAAGUUAAGCAGUAUGAAUGGUUUGAAGUUGUCCUACCAAUUUAAACCAUUUUUGAUACUUUGCAUUCAAGUACAGAAGUGGCUCAGCAGUUAGAGUUUUUGCUGUGUAAGCAAGAGGACUGGAGCUUGCAUCCCAGCACCCACACGAAAGCCAGGUGUGAGCUCCUGUACCCUGGUAACCCAAACAUGGAUCAGAGACAGGCAGAUCCCAAAUGCACAGUGGCCAGCAAGCCUAGCUUGGUGGGGCCCAGGUUCAGUAAGAGGCCUUGUCUCAAGGUGGACAGCAAGAGGAAAGAUGCCCAAUGUCAUCCUCUGACCUCCACACAUACAUACAUAGACAAGCACAUCUGUACAUACGUAUAUGCCACACACAAAUUACAUAAAUGAUAAGUAAGUAAAAUGAAUAGAGAGCACCUUAAAAUGAACUGUAUAUAAUCUUGAAAAUGUUAAAUACUCAACCUCCUUCAUAGGUUAGAUAUAUGAUAAGACCAUAUUGAAAUAGCAUUUCUUAUUGUUCCAUUUGCCAAAGAAAUCUAAAAUUUGAUGACAUGCUUUCUUGGCAAGGUUGUAAAGAAAACAGAUACUCUUGUAGGUUGAUAAUAGUUCUUAGGAGGCAAUUUAUGAUACCUAGCACAAUUAUAUGAGCGAUUAUCCUUUGUCUUAGCCUCACAUCAGACUAGUAGUCUAGCCUGAUGAUAAAUUUACAGAUGAUAAAAAUAGUAGCAGUACCAGGUGUUGGUAGCUCACCCCUUUAAUCCCAGCACUUGGGAGGCAAAGGCUGGUGGAUCUCAUGAGUUCGAGGCUAGCCUGGUCUAUGGAGCAAGUUCCAGGAUAGGACUACACAGAGAAACCCUGUCUUGAAGAACAAACAAACAAUAACAACAACAGAUGCUAGCUGUGCUAGUCUGUUCAUUUUAGUGUUGUUUACGAGAGCAAGACUUGAAAUAACCAAAUGUCCACCAGUAGAUAUCUGGUUGCUAAGGUAGUGCUCUACACAGCCAGCACUAAGUGCUUGGAGUCAUCUAUAGCUAUAAAUGUGAAGAGAGUGCUGACAGUCUCUGUGUGCUUCUGUCAAGCUGUCUCUAGGGUGUAUUAUUCAGGGAAAAGCAAGAUAUGCACUUGUAAGUAGAGGAAGGCUAUGAAAUUACAUUCAUAUAUAUGGCUAUAUAAAGCAUAUGUAUCUAUCUACAUGUAUGUAUACUUAACACAUAUAUGUUUAUUUUCAAAUUGAAACAAUGUAAGGAUAAAACAGCAAUUAUUAUUUGGGGAGGAAAGGAAAUGGGAUGAAAGAAACUGGAAGUUAAACUUCCUGUACUUCAUGUCAUGAUUUUGAGUUUAGAAUCACAUGUUUCACAUGUUUUAAUUGCUAGAAUAAAUGGGAGGUUGUGUGAUGGCAUAUAUUUGUAGUCCAGCUACUCAGGAGGCUGAGGCAGGAGGAUUGCUUUGUGUCCAGAGGUUGAGGCCAAGUCAGCCUGGAAAACACAAAUGAAUAAGUAAGAAUUUUUAAAAAGGUAAACAAAUGACUAUUUGAGACGGUGGCCCAAGUGCAGCGACAAGACACUGUCAGAGAAUCUGUGUUAAUAUAGUGUUUUUAUUCAGAUCCCAGUCACCUGCUCAUUCCUCCUGGAUCCACCCACCAACUUCCAGCUUCCUGUCCUCUUUAAAGAACUCUGUAUCCAGUUUGUGCUAGAUGUGGAGCGAUCCACCAGAGCAUGCUUGACCUACCAGGGACCACAUCCUUAUGAAAACUGUCUCUCCCUCCCCCAGAAGCCAUCAGCUUGUCAGUACCUCCUCAGCUAGGAAUGGGGGCUCGUGAACCCUUUCCCUCCCCAUGCUUGUAGGUGGAUUUUUCGUUGAGACCGUUGACGCUCCAAUAAUGACAUGGAGAUUUACUAUUAAUUAUGAAAGCCUGGCUGAUAGCUUAGGUUUAUUUCUAACUAGUUCUUAUAACUUAAAUUAAUCCAUUUCUAUUAAUUUACUUCCUGCCUGUAGCUUUAUUACCUCAUCUCUGUAUUGUCCGUCCUGUUGGCUCAGUGUCUCCUGGUGUCUCCGUCUUUCUUCCUAGCAUCCACUAUGCCUGGAAAUCCUGUCUAGCUAUUGGCCAUUCAGCUUUUUAUUAAACUAAUCAGAGUAACACAUCUUCACAGUGUACAAAAAGAUGAUCCCACAACACGUGCUCGAAUAUUGACUGGCUUGAUCUUGUACCAACAACCAGAGCUCCUGUGAACUCACGAGUGUUAGUCCUGUCGUGUCAAAGAAACACUGUUUCACUUCAAGGAACUUUUUUACAGAUUGAUUGAUUUUUAUUUUAUGUAUGGCAGUGUUUGUAUAUAUGCCUGUAUGGCACCACAUGUGUGCUUAGUGCCCUCAGAAGUCUGAAGAAGGCAAGGGCAUUGGAUACCCUGGAACCAGGGUUAUUGAUGACUAUGAACUUGUAUGUCAGUGCUGGGAACUAAACAGGUCUUCUGUGAGAGCAACAAGGACUCUUAACUGCUGAGCCAUCUCCAGCUCCAAAGGAACUUUUUGUAGUAGUACAUUUCUUUUGGAGUAUAACAAAAGUAAAAUUGAUAAUUCUAGAUUAUAUCAAAAGCAAGGAUACAGCCAACAGAUUAGAAAGGCAUCCAUGAAAUGUAAUGGAAUUGUAACUUGUAGAUUUUAUAAAGGAUUAAAACACAGACUAUAUAAAGAUCUCCUCCUACAUUUCAUUAACAAAAAAAAAAGAUUUA